rnacentral:rRNA from 1 species
GAUGAACGCUAGCUGCAGGCUUAACACAUGCAAGUCGAGGGGAAACGGCAUUGAGUGCUUGCUCUCUUUGGACGUCGAGCGGCGCACGGGUGAGGAACGCGUACUCCACCUUCGCAUUACAGUAGGAUAAGAUGCCGAAAGGCAGACUAAUACCGCAUAGUCUUCGAUGACGGCAACAGAUAUGAAGUAUAGAUUUAUCGGUUAUGGAUGGGGAUGCGUCUGAUUAGCUUGUUGGUGGGGUAACGGCUCACCAAGGCUACGAUCAGUAGGGGAACUGAGAGGCGGGUCCCCCGCAUUGGAACUGCGGCCCGGACCCGACUGGUACGGGGGGCAGGAGUGUGGAAUAUUGGGCAAGGGAGGCAAGUGUAACACAGCCGCGUGGCGUGCAGAGUGACGGGGCUAGGGGUAGUAAGCUGCUUGGGUAGGAGAAUAGUGUUAGGAACGAGGCCCUAUUUGACGGUACCUAACGAAUAAGCACCGGCUAACUCCGUG